rnacentral:rRNA from 1 species
UACGGGAGGCAGCAGUGGGGAAUAUUGCACAAUGGGCGCAAGCCUGAUGCAGCCAUGCCGCGUGUAUGAAGAAGGCCUUCGGGUUGUAAAGUACUUUCAGUCGUGAGGAAGGUGUUAAGGUUAAUAACCUUAGCAAUUGACGUUAGCGACAGAAGAAGCACCGGCUAACUUCGUGCCAGCAGCCGCGGUAAUACGGAGGGUGCGAGCGUUAAUCGGAAUUACUGGGCGUAAAGGGCACGCAGGCGGUUAAUUAAGUUGGAUGUGAAAUCCCCGGGCUUAACCUGGGAAUGGCAUUCAAGACUGGUUAGCUAGAGUCUUGUAGAGGGGGUAGAAUUCCAUGUGUAGCGGUGAAAUGCGUAGAGAUGUGGAGGAAUACCGGUGGCGAAGGCGGCCCCUGGACAAAGACUGACGCUCAUGUGCGAAAGCGUGGGGAGCGAAACAGGGAUUAGAUACC